rnacentral:rRNA from 1 species
AUUGAACGCUGGCGGCAGGCCUAACACAUGCAAGUCGAGCGGAUGAAGGGAGCUUGCUCCUGGAUUCAGCGGCGGACGGGUGAGUAAUGCCUAGGAAUCUGCCUGGUAGUGGGGGAUAACGUCCGGAAACGGGCGCUAAUACCGCAUACGUCCUGAGGGAGAAGGUGGGGGAUCUUCGGACCUCACGCUAUCAGAUGAGCCUAGGUCGGAUUAGCUAGUUGGUGGGGUAAAGGCCUACCAAGGCGACGAUCCGUAACUGGUCUGAGAGGAUGAUCAGUCACACUGGAACUGAGACACGGUCCAGACUCCUACGGGAGGCAGCAGUGGGGAAUAUUGGACAAUGGGCGAAAGCCUGAUCCAGCCAUGCCGCGUGUGUGAAGAAGGUCUUCGGAUUGUAAAGCACUUUAAGUUGGGAGGAAGGGCAAUAAGUUAAUACCUUGCUGUUUUGACGUUACCAACAGAAUAAGCACCGGCUAACUUCGUG